rfam:Angiostrongylus costaricensis strain Costa Rica genome assembly, scaffold: ACOC_scaffold0000814
GGGUGUAUAGCUCAGUGGUAGAGUAUUCGACUGCAGAUCGAGAAGUCCGUGGUUCAACUAGGCGUGCCUCCU